rfam:Gallus gallus breed Red Jungle fowl, inbred line TCD001 Contig2912.1, whole genome shotgun sequence. [11-NOV-2016]
CAACCUUAGCGGUGGAUCAUCGCUCGUGCUCGAUGAAGAACGCAGCUACUGCGAGAAUAAAUGUGAAUUGCAGACACAUUGAUCAUCGACACGAAGCACUUGGCCCGGUUCCUCCCGGCUACGCCUGCCGAGCGUCG